GACGAACGCUGGCGGCGUGCCUAACACAUGCAAGUCGAACGGUAGCACAGAGAGCUUGCUCUCGGGUGACGAGUGGCGGACGGGUGAGUAACGUCUGGGAAACUGCCCGAUGGAGGGGGAUAACUACUGGAAACGGUAGCUAAUACCGCAUAACGUCGCAAGACCAAAGUGGGGGACCUUCGGGCCUCACACCAUCGGAUGUGCCCAGAUGGGAUUAGCUAGUAGGUGGGGUAAUGGCUCACCUAGGCGACGAUCCCUAGCUGGUCUGAGAGGAUGACCAGCCACACUGGAACUGAGACACGGUCCAGACUCCUACGGGAGGCAGCAGUGGGGAAUAUUGCACAAUGGGCGCAAGCCUGAUGCAGCCAUGCCGCGUGUAUGAAGAAGGCCUUCGGGUUGUAAAGUACUUUCAGCGGGGAGGAAGGCGGUGAAGUUAAUAGCUUCACCGAUUGACGUUACCCGCAGAAGAAGCACCGGCUAACUCCGUGCCAGCAGCCGCCGUAA
rnacentral:rRNA from 1 species